rnacentral:rRNA from 1 species
CUACGGGGCGCAGCAGUGAGGAAUAUUGCACAAUGGGGGAAACCCUGAUGCAGCAACGCCGCGUGGAGGAUGACGCAUUUCGGUGUGUAAACUCCUUUUAUGAGUCAAGAAAAUGACGGUAGCUCAUGAAUAAGCACCGGCUAACUCCGUGCCAGCAGCCGCGGUAAUACGGAGGGUGCAAGCGUUACUCGGAAUCACUGGGCGUAAAGGACGCGUAGGCGGGAUGUCAAGUCAGGUGUGAAAUCCUAUGGCUCAACCAUAGAACUGCACUUGAAACUGGCAACCUAGAGUAUGGGAGGGGGAGAUGGAAUUAGUGGUGUAGGGGUAAAAUCCGUAGAUAUCACUAGGAAUACCGAAAGCGAAGGCGAUCUCCUGGAACAUUACUGACGCUAAGGCGUGAAAGCAUGGGAAGCAAACAGGAUUAGAUACCCGGGUAGUC